CAGCCGCCGCGGUAAUACGGAGGAUCCAAGCGUUAUCCGGAAUCAUUGGGUUUAAAGGGUCCGUAGGCGGUCUUGUAAGUCAGUGGUGAAAGCCCAUCGCUCAACGGUGGAACGGCCAUUGAUACUGCAGGACUUGAAUUAUUGGGAAGUAACUAGAAUAUGUAGUGUAGCGGUGAAAUGCUUAGAGAUUACAUGGAAUACCAAUUGCGAAGGCAGGUUACUACCAAUUGAUUGACGCUGAUGGACGAAAGCGUGGGUAGCGAACAGGAUUAGAGACCCCAGUAGUCCCUGUCUCUUAUAC
rnacentral:rRNA from 1 species